CGAAUCAACAAAUGCUUGUUCAAAAAGUUCAGAUAUUUUAUCAAAUCAAAGCCUGAAAGUUCAAAUCUUUUUCCUCCAUUCUCAUCGCCAUUGUUGCACCAAACCUCAAGCUUUCUUCAUACAGUCCAAAUGAAGCUCUCUUCAAUGGCGGUUCUUCUUCUUUUCCUCAUCGUCUCCCAAGCUCAAGGGAUUAGGUUGUUGGAGAAAGGGAUGAGCAAAGAGUAUAAGAAAAGUGGUGGAGAUUUGUUGAUGAAGAUGAAGAAAGCCCCAAGCAAGGCCUCAAGAAAACCACAUUCUCAAUGGCUACCAGGCAUGCAAGAGGAUUAUCAUGGACCAAGAAGCCAUAAAUUGAGACACCAUUAGUCCUUUCCCACCACCUUUCUUCUUAGGGUUCGAGAGGGCGACUCGAGCUGUAAAUAGAAACCGAGCAUUGUUAAUUCUGUUGUCAUCAAAGAAGGUAGGAACACUAACUAGUUUAAGAGACCUUAUUUGAGGAGCUGACGGUUUUAUAAGAUUAAGAAGGAUCGUAACAGCCACGUUGCGUAGCUUUAUUAGAUUCAGCUUUAACUCGUCUCAUCAGUUGAAUUAGGGAUCGGUGUAGAUUAGUUUGAACGGGUUGGAAAAUUGAGGAGAAAUUCUUUUUUUUUCUUUUUUUUAAUGAAACAAGAUUUUUGAAAUGUUAA